CCUACGGGAGGCAGCAGUGGGGAAUUUUGCGCAAUGGGGCAACCCUGACGCAGCAACGCCGCGUGAGUGAUGAAGGCCUUCGGGUCGUAAAGCUCCGUCAGAGGGGAAGAAAUGCAGGGGGUGAACAAACAUUCUGUUUGACGGUACCCUCAAAGGAAGCACCGGCUAACUCCGUGCCAGCAGCCGCGGUAAUACGGAGGGUGCGAGCGUUGUUCGGAAUUAUUGGGCGUAAAGCGCGUGUAGGCGGUUUUUUAAUUCUGAUGUAAAAGCCCCGGGCUCAACCUGGGAAGUGCAUUUGAUACUGGCAGACUUGAGUACGGGAGAGGAGAGUGGAAUUCCCAGUGUAGGAGUGAAAUCCGUAUAUAUUGGGAGGAACCCCGGUGGCGAGGGCGGCUCU
rnacentral:rRNA from 1 species